GUGUUGGCUAGGGCUCUCUAAGGCAGGAGGCAGGACGCGGACGCGGCCGCGGCAGCUGGCUUUUUCGGCUCGGCCCUUCUCCGCAGGCACUCUCCCGUCUAAUGGGUGCCCACUCCAGGCUGCCCGGGCCCCGCGGACUUACAAACCUGAGGCCGAGAGAGGAUAUGCCUGCGGCGCGUUCCUGGACUGGCAGAGGGAUUUUUCCAACGCAAACUGUGGGUUCACGAGGGCGAUGCGCAGGGAUGAAAGGCGAAGAGAUGAGUCCAGGACCGCUGCUCUCCCAGCGAAAGCAGGCGGGGUGCGCUCAUCUGGGCCCCCCGGCGCCUGGCCUGUGCCUGCGGCGCGCGCCCACCCCUGGGGACCGCGAGGCAGCCGCUUGGGGACCCUUGCCAUCUCCGCGGUGGAGAGUCGGUGGGGGUUGGCGGCGCUUUGGUCUUGAAUGGACAGUGGGGAAAGAGAUGGGGGCUCCCUAACGUGGAUUACUUGGCGCGUAUCAGCUGGGCUUGGAAGACCCAGGACCGCCUCUCCUUCGCGGAUUGAUUCCUUCUACCUAACAAUCGGUUGCUCAGCUGGAGGUGAAAUCAGAGGUUUCCUGCUGACUUGGUGGGAGCUCCGCCCCAAGAAGGAAGGCCAAGGACAAAGUUCACAGGCCCAGGAGGAUGACCAAGCACUGGCCUUCCUGCCCACACCACCACUGGGAAGCCUCCCGGGACCAGCGCACCCUUGAGGGACUCCCAGCACCCCUUGAAAGACUUGGCUGAGGUCAGAUCACCUCUUGAGAGUCAAGAGCCCUGGAUUUGAUUAAGACUUUUUGUUUUGGAGAAUAAAGAAACUUCUGGACUUGUGGAGGCAUACGGGUGGAAACCAAAGACCCUCGCCCUAAGGAGCAGCCACGUGUGGACCUGAGCGAGCCAGGAGAGGCUCGGCUGGGGCCGCCGCAGCCGGAGGAGACUCCUUCUCCCAGACCCGGACCUUCCUCCCUAUGGAAAGUGUUGCCUCCGCUGCUUCCUGCUCCUGACACUCUUCCCCGCCCCACCCGGCUCCCAGGCUGUGCCCCACACCCUUCCCUGCCUGCCCCCACCUCCCCCGCCCCUCCUGCCUUUGGACCCAGCGAUUCUUCUUGUUUGCUGGCUGGAUAUAGAGUGAAUAGUUAACUACACUUGAGUCAAAUGCGAUCUUGGGUUUUGUUCCUGUUCUUUCUAAAGAUGCCGCCAUUCAUACAUUGUGAGCAGCUUGGGAAGGGUGUUUGGACCUGCCCCUCCCCACCUCAGGUUCCAGAAUGACCAAGAAUCAGCAUGGAAGUCCUGCAGGCUCUCAGACAUCAUGGCCAUCGGAGAAGGCUAGGGCAGGGGAGUUGGAUUUGAGGGCUGGUGUUCUCCAGGUUCAGCUCUCUUUGUGUGGGUUGCACCCAGGUGGACUUCCGGAAGGACAAAAAUGAACUGAUUAUUCCAUCUGAUCGAUCCAGUCGUCUGUAAGGAUCCUCUUCUCUCAGGUGUCAGCUGGGAUCCAGGCAGGAUCUUGGUGCUUCAUGACAUACUAGCUGGAUAUUGGGCUCUUUUAUGGAGACAUUCCUCUUCCAGUGUCUUCUGGUGACACUGCCUGUCAGCAGUUUGAGUCUUCUCUGUAGCUCCCAUGAACAUGGUUGAAGAAAACACUAAGUAUGUGUCAGAGUCCAGCCUUGUCCGGCAUGCAGAGUCAAAGGUGUCUCUGCUCAUUUCCAAAGUGAACAGGCUGUUUGUUUUCAUAAAAGAAUGGAAACUUGCCUGUGUGGUGGAUGGUGUGUUAUGGUGGGUUAGUGACUUGGGGUAAUUCUUGGCAUCUCCAAGUCACCACAAAAUGACUGAGGAGAACCCCCCAGAGAUGUUCAUUGCUACUGAAAUUUGAGGAGGGUGUAUGGGAGUCCCCUUCCUUCCUUAGCACGUGGGGUAGCCAUUGGUACUCCUCAGGUUUGUUCACGUUUUUUGGAAACUGAGACCCACUUGUAUCACCUCUGUGAAUGAGGUGUGUUUCAAGGUCACAGGGGAAGUGAGGCCGAGGACUCCAGCAGCCACCCAGCUAGGCCUUGUCAAGAAGCCCGAAGUCCUUCAGCACACCCAGUAGCUAUGGCCUGAUUCCAGGGACAGCAAGAGUAGCAUCCUGGUCAUCUUGAUCCUUCACUCUGCAUCCUGACUCACUGCUCCUGACUCUGGAAUUCUGCUGUGGUGAUGGACUGAGGGGGACCCACUAUCCUUGUUUGCACAGGCUUAAGGGGUUUCUCAGGACAGAGGACUUUCAGGGCUAAACCUGAGGCAGUCCUGGGCAAACUGGAAUAAUGGGUCACCCAGUUGGGUGAUCCUGCCUCUGCUACUUUUCCUACUGUAAUUGAUGGAUGCUUCUGAUAGGCUUGGCCAGAUACCAUUCAGGACUCUGCAUCUGGUUGCCUCAUUGGCCACUGCGGCCUCUAAAUGGAUGCCAUUGGUUUAGGCACCAGUCCUGACUGAUUCAGUUCUCUCCAGAAUGGAAGCAUUGCUUGAUAUUGAAUAAAAUACGGAGUAAGAGGGGCCAUAUGAACAAUGGGCACGGUGGGGAUUCAGGGUACCAGGGAUUUCUCUCUAAUACAAUCCUACUUAUACAGGUAAAACUAAUCUUUCUUAUUAAAAACAAAACAGUUCAUUAAGAGGCAAAAAAAAAAAUAACGUAGCCCUUAGGAACAG